rnacentral:rRNA from 1 species
AUGGCUCAGGAUGAACGCUGGCGGCGUGCUUAACACAUGCAAGUCGAACGAAGCUCUUGAUCUGAGGAUUCGUCUGAAGUGAUGGGAUGACUUAGUGGCGGACGGGUGAGUAACGCGUGGGUAACCUGCCGUAUGCAGGGGGACAACAGUUGGAAACGACUGCUAAUACCGCAUAAGCGCACAGGACCGCAUGGUCUAGUGUGAAAAGAUUUAUCGGCAUACGAUGGACCCGCGUCUGAUUAGCUAGUUGGUGAGGUAACGGCCCACCAAGGCGACAAUCAGUAGCCGGCCUGAGAGGGUGAACGGCCACAUUGGGACUGAGACACGGCCCAAACUCCUACGGGAGGCAGCAGUGGGGAAUAUUGCACAAUGGGGGAAACCCUGAUGCAGCGACGCCGCGUGAGUGAAGAAGUAUCUCGGUAUGUAAAGCUCUAUCAGCAGGGAAGAAAAUGACGGUACCUGACUAAGAAGCCCCGGCUAACUACGUGCCAGCCGCCGC